ensembl:lncRNA
GAUCGAUUGGAAAUGCCAGAUCGGUUAGCACAAUGUACUGCAGAACAACCCAUUAUGUCCGUGUGAAAUUAUAUCAAUUAUAGAAAUGUAGAGAUUAAAUAUAAAGUUCCAAUCUCCUCAGUCCUCCGAAGAUUCAGUGGCUCCUCGGCUCAGAUAGCUGUCAAUCACAGCUGUGAAUCACGACGUCACACCACCGUUUUUAGAGCAUUAAAUAACUAACUAAAAACAAACUUAUUUUAAAAACAAACUCUUGAAUUUACAUUAGCGUGAUACAAACUACAGUAAAUGACAGAAACCAGCUUCGGAAAAAAUAUAUUUGAAGGGUAAUUUAUUUGUUUAGUUGGUCUCGCGUCCCAUUGAAUAACAUGGGGAGGGCGGGGUUUAUGACCUAUACUGGGACCACUCACCAGGGGGCGAUCGAGACGUUUUGGCUUCACUUUUCAGGGCUUGUGCGGCACGCUUGGCUCAAACCUUCAACAUUUGACUAAGUGCUACAGCGCCACCAUGGGGUGUAUAGGUAUAGUAAUGGCUGAGGCCCUUUGGGCAUCUCAUGGCAACAAGUAUGCAAAGUUUCAUGCAAAUUGAGCCACAUAUGGCCGAGUUACGGGCCUCUGAAAAUGGGCCCGGAGAAAAAUAAUAAUAAUAAUAAUAAAACCAACAAAAACAAUAGGGUACCGUACCUACGGUACUUGGUCCCCUAAUAAUAAUAAUAAUAAUAAAACCAACAAAAACAAUAGGGUACCAUACCUACGGUACUUGGUCCCCUAAUACAAAUCAUAAUAAUAAAACCAACAAAAACAAUAGGGUACCGUACCUACGGUACUUGGUCCCCUAAUAAUAAUAAUAAAACGUACAAACAUAAAAGGGUUCCAGCAACUUCGUUGCUUGGCCCCCUAACAACAGUCCUGUAGUCCCGCUAUACUUUAAAUGUUACUCAGCCCUGUCCAAACUCUACAGGUACUUGUUUAACAUUAUAAAUAAAAUGACUGGAGGGUCCCUUGGAAAUACUUUAAAAGACUUUGCACCUACUUCAAACACCUGAUUCAACUAAAAUGUUAAAAUAGUAUGACAACCCCUAACAGUACGAGUGUGCAGUUUUAAUGCUUUGUUUGCCUUUCAGACCUCAAAGUUGUCCUCAACCGGGGACAGAAUGUUUUGGCAAACCGUGUGGUAUGUGUUUGAUAAGGUCUUCACACUGGACUUUGCAACCCAACUGAACUGUUGCGGUAGGGGGCAGAAGACUGUCAUCCGGUCAAUACCACUGAAGGAUGCUAUUGUGUGUUCUGUUCUUAAAAAACCACGUUUGCCAGGAAUGACUGAGUUCGAGGUUGAAAGGGCAGAGACGGCAGCUGGAGGGAGAGACCUGCGAAAUAAGAGGACGGUUUGUAGCCUACUAUUUGUAGCCUAUUGCACAAUUGUUGGGUGUUUUUGUUUAGGCUUCUUUUGUUUUUUCUAUGUUUGUUCAAUUGUAC